UACUAGAUGGCUUUCAUGUUUCAUGGA
rnacentral:piRNA from 1 species